GCGGUGGAUGAUGUGGAUUAAUUCGAUGCAACGCGAAAACCUUACCUACCCUUGACAUGUCUGGAACCUUGGUGAGAGCCGAGGUGCCUUCGGGAGCCAGAACACAGGUGCUGCAUGGCUGUCGUCAGCUCGUGUCGUGAGAUGUUGGGUUAAGUCCCGCAACGAGCGCAACCCUUGUCAUUAGUUGCCAUCAUUUGGUUGGGCACUCUAAUGAGACUGCCGGUGACAAACCGGAGGAAGGUGGGGAUGACGUCAAGUCCUCAUGGCCCUUAUGGGUAGGGCUUCACACGUCAUACAAUGGUCGGUACAGAGGGUUGCCAACCCGCGGGGGGGGAGCCAAUCCCACAAAGCCGGUCGUAGUCCGGAUCGCAGUCUGCAACUCGACUGCGUGAAGUCGGAAUCGCUAGUAAUCGUGGAUCAGAAUGUCACGGUGAAUACGUUCCCGGGUCUU
rnacentral:rRNA from 1 species